GUUAAAAGCUCGUAGUUGGAUUUCUGUUGAGGAUGACCGGUCCGCUCUUUGAGCGCGUAUCUGGUUCAGCCUUGGCAUCCUCUUGGGGAACGCUACUGUGCUUGAUUGCAUGGGGCGGUAUUCAAGACUUUUACUUUGAGGAAAUUAGAGUGUUCACUGCAAGCGUUAGCAAUAGAAUACAUUAGCAUGGAAUAAUAAUAUAGGACCUUGGUACUAUUUUGUUGGUUUCUAGAACUAAGGUAAUGAUUAAUAGGGACAAUUGGGGGCAUUCGUAUUAACGCGUCAGAGGUGGUAUUCUUAGAUUGCGUUACGACGAACUACUGCGAAAGCAUUUGCCAAGGAUGUUUUCAUUGAUCAAGAACGAAAGUAUGGGGAUCGAAGACGCUUAGAUACCGUCGUAGUCUAUACCAUAAACUAUGCCAACUAGAGAUUGGAGGUCGUUCUCUUUAUGACUCCUUCAGCACCUUAUGAGAAAUCAAAGUCUUUGGGUUCCGGGGGGAGUAUGGUCGCAAGGCUGAAACUUAAAGGAAUUGACGGAAGGGCACCACCAGGAGUGGAGCCUGCGGCUUAAUUUGACCCAACACGGGAAAACUUACCAGGUCCAGACAUAGUAAGGAUUGACAGAUUGAUAGCUC
rnacentral:rRNA from 1 species